GUCAUUUUUUUAAUUUAAUUACCGAUUUUUUAGGUUGGCAAUAUGUUUCAAACACGUGUCCGCGACAUAUUUUUAAUUUAAUAACCGAUUUAGUGCGAUUUUUUAGGUUGGCAAUGUGUUUUAGACACGUGUCCGCGCCAUUUUUUUAAUUUAAUUACCGAUUUUUUAGGUUGGCAAUAUGUUUCAAACACGUGUCCGCGACAUAUUUUUAAUUUAAUAACCGAUUUAGUGCGAUUUUUUAGGUUGGCAAUGUGUUUUAGACACGUGUCCGCGCCAUUUUUUUAAUUUAAUUACCGAUUUUUUAGGUUGGCAAUAUGUUUCAAACACGUGUCCGCGACAUAUUUUUAAUUUAAUAACCGAUUUAGUGCGAUUUUUUAGGUUGGCAAUGUGUUUUAGACACGUGUCCGCGCCAUUUUUUUAAUUUAAUUACCGAUUUUUUAGGUUGGCAAUAUGUUUCAAACACGUGUCCGCGACAUAUUUUUAAUUUAAUAACCGAUUUAGUGCGAUUUUUUAGGUUGGCAAUGUGUUUUAGACACGUGUCCGCGCCAUUUUUUUAAUUUAAUUACCGAUUUUUUAGGUUGGCAACGUGUUUUAGACACGUGUCCGCGUCAUUUUUUUAAUUUAAUUACCGAUUUUUUAGGUUGGCAAUAUGUUUCAAACACGUGUCCGCGACAUAUUUUUAAUUUAAUAACCGAUUUAGUGCGAUUUUUUAGGUUGGCAAUGUGUUUUAGACACGUGUCCGCGCCAUUUUUUUAAUUUAAUUACCGAUUUUUUAGGUUGGCAAUGCGUUUUAAACACGUGUCCGCGACAUAUUUUUAAUUUAAUUACCGAUUUAGUGCGUUUUUUUAG